AAGUGUCUGUAGAGUGAGAGGAGCUGUUCUUUGCCAAGACAAACAAACAUCCUCACCUACCUCAACUAUAUUACAUUUUUCUUGAUUGUUCCAGAGCUGUGUUCAGGUUCAUAUCAGCUAUAUCGAGGGAGGUUGUGUAUGAGAAGAGUGCAGUUUGUGAGACACCCACAAAUUACUUGAGAGCAACAGCACUGAAGAGACAGUAGGUAAGGCCUGAAAUACUAAAUGGAAGAUUAAAUAUUGAAUAACUGUACACAACAUGAAAAGCAAUGAAGACAUAUGCAACAGAACAUCAAGAUUUGAUUUAGACCAAGACAACUGACUCCCAUGAUCUUGAAAAGAGCAUUGCAGAAAGCAAGUGCUUUAAUCACUGGUGUUACCUCUCACACGAAGGGCAAAUUGCCAUCUACUGGAAAAUAAGAUCUCCCCUGAUAAUUGAGAGGACCUUCUUCUGUACAGAUUCAGAACUGGAAGUAUCAGUAUUAGCUGUCCAGUCUUAAUGGCUUCCGUGCUGUGGAUAGAAACUACUAACCCAGAUCACUCCUCCUCAGCCAGCAGACUGAUGCUAACCAAAAUAGAUUACAGUUUGUUCUGGGGGCUGGGAAGACAGAAAUUAAAUCUCAACAAAGGCCUGAUUCUGUUUUUUGCAUUUCAUUCUGUACUAUGAAAGGACACUGAACUGUCAUUUACAAAGCAAAAUCUCAUACACAUGUACAGCACUGGACAGGAAUUCAUGACUGCAUUUUAGAUUGCAUCCUAACAAAUGCUGUGCAAUACAAACUGGAAAAUCAAGACACUGAUAGCCUAGUUUUAAAAAAUUCAAAAUACAUAAUUUAUAUGCAGCAGAUGUUUAAGUAUCAUAGUAUGAGCAAUGGCAUAAAAAUGCAGAUACAGCGGGGGACUCCCCAGAUAGGUUAAUGCCAGUAUGAUACGCUAGGCAGAAGUAAGCUUUUAGAACUAAGAAUAUGAAGUGCUGGAAUUUCAAAUAUUAUUAGUCUUCUUUUUCAAGUAAAGGUAAAAAGAAGGCCUUAUGACAGAAGCUGCCUGUAUCUUCAUAUACAUGUGGGUAUAUCUCUCUAUAUAACACGUUAGUAUUUCUGUGUCUUCGUUUGCAUUUGCAGUUGCUGUUAAAUGAUUACACUGACAUUUUCUUUGACAUGACAAACCUUGCUUACAGUCUUCAUUGUACCUAAAAAUCCCUUUUUAUGGCAAAAGGCAAAUCAUACCUGCGUAUCUGAAAAAGCACAAUCAACCAUCUAACAACCUCAUCUGAACUGCAGCGGAGGUAACAUCCCGCAUGCCCACACAUAGUGGCAAGCAGAACUGCUGACCUUUAGUGGCUCUGAGGCAACAAUCCAGUUCAAGAACUGACACAAUGGAAAAUCCCAGGAUGAGAAAGGAAGAAAAGUGCCAGACCUUGCUUUUAAAAGGAAAAGGCUAUCAAGCAAGAAUGGACAGGGUGUUGACAGAACCAAAGGAAUCAGCAAAAAGAACAAAAGACAAAGACUGGAUCUCUACGGGACCAACCCCUAAGGAUGGUAAGAUUUCUGACACAAAACAUGAAAUGAUUCAAGUGUUUGUUGACUCCUUGGUUAAACAUAGAGACUAACCUCUACAUGUGCAUGCAUAUUUACAAAAAAUGCUUCACAAUGCAUAGGUUUUGCUCCAGUCCCAGAAGAAUGUAUACAGGGAAUCUGUACACUGGACUACAGAGCGUGUGGAGCUCUGAAAGGCUGAGGAUAUUCACACCUGUCUAAAGACACAGGAAAUUCAGUCCCUCACCCCCGAGUUCUGCAGUCUGGGUUUGAAAAGCCACCUAGAUUCUACCCACUGGACUUGGAGAGCACUUGGGAUCCCAAGUUUGAGUUAAUGAUUACCAUAAGGGGCUACAUAACUCAGCCUGCUGUGUAAUACUUCCAAAGGAAUUCAUCCCAACAGGAGCAGACGUUGUAUAGGCUGGAUGGCAGACAGCCAUUCGUGUAGCCCUCCAGUCACUGGUGCUUAAACAUAAUGCAGAGGACAAUUAGUCUUAAGUCCUGUUUCCAAACAUGCCAAAAAGCACAUAAGCCGCUUUGCCAAAGCUCAGGAGAUUGCAAGCCAUCCAACUUUCUGUUUUGUAAAAUGUAACCUGCAUUGCUGCAGCUGUUUUCUGUUUCCUUCAACCAAGACUUCCUUGGAAAGAUUUUCUCAACCACAUCAAUCUCAUGCCACCCCAAUCCUGGUGAUGUCCUGCUAGAACUAAGUAACUGAAUAGAAUUCAUUUUCUCACCCUUCAGAUGUUCCUUUCCAGGCAGCAGUGGGAAAUUUUAGAAGGGCAGUAGGGGGAAAAGAAUUUACUUGGGUCGUCCAAGCUGCACCUACUCAGGGAAUACAGAAAGGAUUCAAGGUUCCAGCCCUUUCCAUCUGGUACUAUUUACUGAUCCCAUAGCUCAUUCACUGGCUCAGCAGGGGAACUGAGACACUGGGCUUAGCUGGUUAGAAACUGGUACACAAAAAAAUGCACAUGAUAUAUUGAUAUGUUUAUUUGAGAGGUUUUGCCUAAGUAUUGUCACAGCACACAGCUAAAAUUAUGGAAGAGACCUACUGAGUUCAUCCCUUUAGCACCCAGGGCCAGUGAAAAUUUUCCAAACAAUGUAUGAUUUACAGCUUGCCCUGUUCAGCUAAAUUGUAACUCCAAAUAUAUAUUUCUAUUUAACACUGCUGAAAGCGUUAGUGAGGAUAAGGACAGUGCAGGAGGCAAAGAUGGACAUAUAAGGCGACUGGAAGAUAUAUGGAAAAUAUGAAUAAAUCUAAUGGCCACUGCAGUUGCAAUGAACAAUAAUCACUUGACUUAAAACUGCGCAUACAUAUCAUUUCUACGUGACACUUUGCAAUAAAUAAGCACGGAAUAGAUGCUCUUUAAAGAGUAGUUUAAAAUCCAUGCUCAACAUACUUUCACCAAUAAAAGAAAUUACAGGGGAGGAAAAAAAGCUUUGAUCACAAGAACAAAACCUGAAGCAGCUGCUUCUACUCAUACUAUAAUUUUUCUUCCUGGAUGUGAGCAAAAGCUAUUUUAUUUUUCAUGUACAGUAGAUUGGGUACUGGGAAAUGAUUCUCUCAUUAGAAACCAAACAUUUUAAAUAUUAAACUGUUCAGAAGUUAUAAACAUAAUUACAUAACUUUCACCAGAGUUUAAGUAUUAUCUAGAUAUAUAUUCAAAGAUAAGACAGCUCACAUGUGCUUUGAUAGCCAACCUGAGAACAUGUUUCUUCUUUUAUUGCUGAGAUUUUAAGCUAUUUUUCCUGUAAAAUCCAAAGCUUGCCAAAUGCUCGUGAGAAUAAACCUGAAGUUUGUUAUGUUGGUAUCAAAAUAACAAUCCAUUUUUGAGUAU